rnacentral:rRNA from 1 species
AUUGAACGCUGGCGGCAUGCCUUACACAUGCAAGUCGAACGGUAACAGGUCUUCGGAUGCUGACGAGUGGCGAACGGGUGAGUAAUACAUCGGAACGUGCCCGAGAGUGGGGGAUAACGAGGCGAAAGCUUUGCUAAUACCGCAUACGAUCUCAGGAUGAAAGCAGGGGACCGCAAGGCCUUGCGCUCACGGAGCGGCCGAUGGCAGAUUAGGGAGUGGGUGGGAUAAAAGCUUACCAAGCCGACGAUCUGGAGCUGGUCUGAGAGGACGACCAGCCACAGUGGAACUGAGAGACGGCCCAGACUCCUACGGGAGGCAGCAGUGGGGAAUUUUGGACAAUGGGCGCAAGCCUGAUCCAGCCAUGCCGCGUGCAGGAUGAAGGCCUUCGGGUUGUAAACUGCUUUUAUACGGAACGAAGAGACUCUGGUUAAUACCUGGGGUCCAUGACGGUACCGUAAGAAUAAGCACCGGCUAACUACGUGCCAGCAGCCGCCGUAAAAC